AGAGUUGAUCCUGGCUCAGGAUGAACGCUAGCUACAGGCUUAACACAUGCAAGUCGAGGGGCAGCAUGGGAGUUGCUUGCAAUCCUGAUGGCGACCGGCGCACGGGUGAGUAACGCGUAUCCAACCUUCCCCUUAGUAGGGCAUAGCCCGGUGAAAAUCGGAUUAAUACCCUAUGUUCUUCACAGCAGACAUCUAACGUGAAGCAAAGGUUCACCGCUAAGGGAUGGGGAUGCGUCUGAUUAGGUAGUAGGCGGGGUAACGGCCCACCUAGCCUUCGAUCAGUAGGGGUUCUGAGAGGAAGGUCCCCCACAUUGGAACUGAGACACGGUCCAAACUCCUACGGGAGGCAGCAGUGAGGAAUAUUGGUCAAUGGGCGAGAGCCUGAACCAGCCAAGUAGCGUGCAAGGAUGACGGCCCUAUGGGUUGUAAACUGCUUUUAUAUGGGGAUAAAGUUCACCACGUGUGGUGUUUUGCAGGUACCAUAUGAAUAAGGACCGGCUAAUUCCGUGCCAGCCGCAGC
rnacentral:rRNA from 1 species